AUAUCUGUCUGUCUGUUAUAUUUCCAGACAUUUAUCCUUCGCUUAUGUUGCUAGUGUAGCCUAUCUGUAAUCAGCGCCGAGGGGCUGGAUAACCAUUGCAACGGUCAAAUGCGGCGAUUAUGCUGAAGUUUUGCGUCGGCGUGGGGUAGCUCUGGCCUCCUGGCUGCUUCUUUAGGUUUUCUCGAAGGACAUAUUGUGGUUUCCAUGGCACUGCGAUUGGGGUUUCCAUGGACAACACCACAAUCGUCCUGGUGGCCACGGGGAAGCUCAUGCCUGAGGAUGAUCCUGUAAGUUUUGGUCCUGUAAGUUUUGGUCGACAAGGCUAUCUAAUGCCUGAGGAUGAUCCCCAGCUCGGAAAUCCCAUUCUGUUCCGUAGGGGUUUAGAUUUUAUUGCGCAACUUCAUUUAUGAUUUUCCUGUAUAAUAAUGUUUUCUUUUAAAAGCGUUUGAUUUUGUAGCAUCCUGGCUAUUUUAUAGCGUUUGAUUUUCUUUAGAAAAUAAAUUUAUUCUAUCCA